rnacentral:tRNA from 1 species
UCCCUGGUGGUCCAGUGGUUAGGACUCAGCACUUUCACUGUGGUGACCCAAAUUCAGCCCCUGGUCAGGGAA